CGUUAGCGUAUGCAUUUACAAUUCACAAAGAAAAAAAUGAUUAAAAUAACGUUUUCACAUUUACCAAACCUAAAAUGGUUUCAACUAAAGAAUAAUUUUUUUUUUUUUUUUUUUUUUUUUGUAUAACACAAUAUUUUAUAAUGUUACAACGCUAGUAGUAAAACAGUUUAACGUCCAAUAUUGUUAAAAGAAAUAAUUUUCUUAUAACAGGGGCUCAUACUAUUGGUGUAUCUCACUGCUCGUCUUUCACAAACCGUCUAUACAAUUUUACGGGCCGUGGAGACCAAGAUCCAGCCCUAGACAGCGAAUAUGCAGCCAAUCUCAAGUCUAGGAAAUGUCCUAGCCUCAACGAUAACAAGACCAUCGUUGAGAUGGAUCCAGGGAGCCGCAAAACAUUUGAUCUAAGUUAUUACCAGCUAGUUCUCAAGCGUAGAGGUCUGUUUCAGUCAGACUCUGCUCUCACCACUAACCCAACGACACUCUCAAACAUAAACCGGAUCUUGACGGGUUCCGUGGAAAGUUUCUAUUCUGAGUUUGCCAAGUCGAUGGAGAAAAUGGGUCGGAUCAAUGUCAAGACGGGAUCAGCGGGAGUGGUUAGGAGGCAAUGUUCCGUUGCAAAUAGUUGAGGGGUGAAAAUGUAAAAGAUUUGGGAGUUUUGGGUGUAGUUGUGAGAAUAAUAAGGAUGAUGAUUGUGAUGUAACCUUUUGGGAUUUGUGUGCAUGGAUUUUGUUAUAGACUUCGUCAAUAAAGUGAAAUAAAAUUACUGGUGUUUUAUAUAUGUAUAUACUUGGUUUGUCUAGUACGAACCAUGACACUUGAGUUGGUUUGAGUAACCUUGUCAUAUUGUGAAUAGAGUUAUCUACAAACGAGACUCCAAAGUAUCCAAAAAUAUGAAGAAAUUACUGAAGUAAAUAUGUUCUAUUUUAUUAUUUAUGUGUUGAUUGUUUAUUGUUUUCAUUGGCGUUUUUUAUUUAACUGAUUUUAAUGUAUUCUUAACUUUUACAGUUGUCUGUAAAUUGCCAUUGUAAUGUUUUGGAUGCGCGUAAAAUACAUAACGAGUAUUUUUCACCCACCCUAGCUCAAAGCCUCAAACUCAAACAACUCGAUUUAGUUCUAAAUUUCUAAUUAUCAAAAAAGAAAAAUACCGAAAGACCAAAACAAAAAGAAAGCUUCAUUAUUUUCAUCAACCAACGUACAAAGAAAAUAAAAAACUAAAAAGAAAAAGAGUAACGGGUGUAAAAGUUAUUUUUGAGUUUGUAUCAUUCCUUCGUAUGGCUCUCAGGAGAAUAUAG
rnacentral:lncRNA from 1 species